UUUAAAGUGUAAUGUAAGUCGCUUUGGAUAAAAGCGUCUGCUUAAUGACCUGUA
rfam:Gasterosteus aculeatus cont1.003291, whole genome shotgun sequence.